rnacentral:rRNA from 1 species
AUUGAACGCUAGCGGGAUGCCUUACACAUGCAAGUCGAACGGAGUGGCGAACGGGUGAGUAAUGUAUAGGAACGUGCCCAGUAGCGGGGGAUAACUACAACUAAGCGUAGGUAAUACCGCAUCCUCUUAGAGUGGCCGCUAUCGGAUUAGCUUGUUGGAGGGGUAACGGCUAACCAAGGCGACGACCCGUAGCUGGUUUGAGAGGACGACCAGCCACACUGGGACUGAGACACGGCCCAGACUCCUACGGGAGGCAGCAGUGGGGAAUUUUGGACAAUGGGGGAAACCCUGAUCCAGCCAUCCCGCGUGUGCGAUGAAGGCCUUCGGGUUGUAAAGCACUUUUGGCAGGAAAGCGGUACCUGCAGAAUAAGCACCGGCUAACUACGUGCCAGCAGCCGCGGUAAUAC